GGUGCAAACGUUGCUCGGAAUCAUUGGGCGUAAAGCGCACGUAGGCGGCCUCGCAAGUCUGAUGUGAAAUCCCUCGGCUCAACCGAGGACGUGCAUCGGAAACUGCGGGGCUUGAGUACUGAAGAGGAUCGCGGAAUUCCCGGUGUAGAGGUGAAAUUCGUAGAUAUCGGGAGGAGCACCAGUGGCGAAGGCGUCGAUCUGGGCAGAUACUGACGCUGAGGUGCGAAAGCGUGGGGAGCAAACAGG
rnacentral:rRNA from 1 species